AUUGAACGCUGGCGGCAGGCCUAACACAUGCAAGUCGAGCGGAUGAAGGGAGCUUGCUCCUGGAUUCAGCGGCGGACGGGUGAGUAAUGCCUAGGAAUCUGCCUGGUAGUGGGGGAUAACGUCCGGAAACGGGCGCUAAUACCGCAUACGUCCUGAGGGAGAAAGUGGGGGAUCUUCGGACCUCACGCUAUCAGAUGAGCCUAGGUCGGAUUAGCUAGUUGGUGGGGUAAAGGCCUACCAAGGCGACGAUCCGUAACUGGUCUGAGAGGAUGAUCAGUCACACUGGAACUGAGACACGGUCCAGACUCCUACGGGAGGCAGCAGUGGGGAAUAUUGGACAGUGGGCGAAAGCCUGAUCCAGCCAUGCCGCGUGUGUGAAGAAGGUCUUCGGAUUGUAAAGCACUUUAAGUUGGGAGGAAGGGCAGUAAGUUAAUACCUUGCUGUUUUGACGCUACCAACAGAAUAAGCACCGGCUAACUUCGUG
rnacentral:rRNA from 1 species